CAUAAAUAUUACAAUUCUAUUGUUAUUAUGCAUUAAAUAUCGAUAUUGCAUGAAAUUUUUUAUUUUUUUACGAGUAUGCAUGACGAAAUUUGAUGUGGUGAAACUCCCGGUUGAACCGUAGGAAUAGAUCAAAUAUCCAUGCUGUGAUACUAGGGGUAUGUGAGCCAGUGUAAGACCAUGUUUGGAACAUGGCAUCAGCAUUUAUAUGAGAGCUUGUAUAAGACCAUGUCUGGGACAUGGCAUGGCCUCGAUAUGUGAGCCAGUGUAAGACCAUGUUUGGAACAUGGUAUCGGCAUUUAAAUGAGAGCUAGUGUAAGACCAUGUCUGGGACAUGGCAUCGGCCUCGAUAUGUGAGCCAGUGUAAGACCAUGUUUGGAACAUAGUAUCGACAUUUAUAUGAGAGCUAGUGUAAGACCAUGUCUGGGAUAUGGCAUCGACCUCGAUAUGUGAGCUAGUGUAAGACCAUGUUUGGAACAUGGCAUCGGCAUUUAUAUGAGAGCUAGUGUAAGACCAUGUCUGGGACAUGGCAUUGGCAUUUAUAUUAGAGCUAGUGUAAGACCAUGUUUGGGACAUGGCAUCAGCCUCAACAGGUGAGAUUGUUAAGACCAUGUUUGGAACAUGGCAUUGGCACUGAUAUAUGAAAGCCAGUGUAAGACCAUGUAUGGGACAUGGCAUCGGCAUCUUACCUUUUUGUAUGAGGCUUAUCAGGUAUCCAUUUAUUUUUCCAACUAGUUCAAUAGGUAAUUUAAAAAUUAUAUCAUGAUUGAGAAAAGUUAUGAUUACGUUGCAAGUGGUACAGGUACCUAUAUGAAACUCAUAAAAAUGAGCUCGGGCUAUGUAUAUGAAUAGUAAGGAUGAAAAUGAUGCCGCCAAGCUAGCUCUAGAAUCAAGAGACAUCAGAGGCAUUGAUUACACUAUCACCUCAAGUUUUUGGUAUAGUUAGUUUAAAUGUUUUGAGCGUGGCAUGUAUAGGGACUUGGUCUUUUUGUUUAGUGUCAUGUUGGUUUAGCCAAAAGUGUUGGCUCAUAUGGAUAUGAUAUUCAUUUUGUAUAGGCUAUUAAUUUUGGCUAAUACUGAUUAUUAUUAAAUGCAUUUGAUGAAAA